GAUCCUGGCUUAGGAUGAACGCUGGCGGCGUGCCUAACACAUGCAAGUCGAACGAAGCACUUUCCCGAGGAAGAGGCGUGCUGCACAAAUCGGACUCAUUUAAAGUGACUUAGUGGCGGACGGGUGAGUAACGCGUGGGUAACCUGCCUUAUACAGGGGGAUAACAGUUAGAAAUGACUGCUAAUACCGCAUAAGCGCACGGUAUCGCAUGAUACAGUGUGAAAAGCGUAACGGUAUAAGAUGGACCCGCGUCUGAUUAGCCAGUUGGUGAGGUAACGGCUCACCAAAGCGACGAUCAGUAGCCGGCCUGAGAGGGUGAACGGCCACAUUGGGACUGAGACACGGCCCAAACUCCUACGGGAGGCAGCAGUGGGGGAUAUUGCACAAUGGGGGAAACCCUGAUGCAGCGACGCCGCGUGAGUGAUGAAGUAUUUCGGUAUGUAAAGCUCUAUCAGCAGGGAAGAAAAUGACGGUACCUGACUAAGAAGCCCCGGCUAACUACGUGCCAGCCGCGGC
rnacentral:rRNA from 1 species